GAGAAAACUGAAAGCACCAUCAUCUGUUCUUUCACGAGGAGACGGAGAGAAUAAUCCAGAGCACAUAUGAAUAAAUCUGUUGAGCAGUUAGGAAACCAUAAUCAGUAAUGAUGGCUGAAGACACAGACAAUCACAACGCUUGCAACAGAGACAAAAGCGUUAAACGAGAGCGAUCACAUUCCCCUGUACUCAGUGUUUUAUCC